UAUUCUGCCCCAUGGGGAAGGAUGAGAAGCUUCGACUAAGGUUCGACUCGAGCGAAGCGAAGCGCAGGCAACGGCCCGAAAGGCGUUAGCGCCGAGUAAUCCUUCCCCCACCACCA
rnacentral:sRNA from 1 species